rnacentral:rRNA from 1 species
GACAGAGGCCUCAAGCGUUAGGCGGAAUCACUGGGCUUAAAGCGUGUGUAGGCGGUUCGUUAAGUGUCUUGUGAAAUCCCACGGCUCACCCGUGGAACUGCUGGGCAUACUGGCGAUCUUGGGCCAACUAGGGGCAACUGGAACAAGCGGUGGAGCGGUGAAAUGCGUAGAUAUCGCUUGGAACGCCAAAGGUGAAAACAGGUUGCUGGAGUUGUGCCGACGCUGAGACACGAAAGCCAGGGGAGCAAACGGG